rnacentral:lncRNA from 1 species
AUUUACUUCCAUUUGUAAAAAUUUGACAAAGAAUCCUGAUCUGUCGACGAUUUCUCCCCAUUUUGGACCACUGUACGACCGAAAUUUUUAAAACUGAACACAGUUAAAUGCUUGGGGGCCCAACAAGAACAUUUACAGCCAAAACCCAUCAAAGGUGUAACUUUUUCGUCCAUUUUUCCCGUCUUUUUGCUGUAAAAAUGCUGUCCAGAAUGAUGGCGAUUUGGCAACUUUGCCCCCUCAUUUCUCAAAAACCGUGCGUAUACUCAAGCUAAAAUUUUUACCAGAGUUUUAGGGUAUCAUAAGGUAUCGUUUGGGCCCGGUUUCAGAAAAAUCCCUUCUGGCCCAAAUUGUGCCAAAAAACGGUCGUUUUUGGCGUCGCUCUUUGGCGGCAGGCUCGUCCAGCGUUGGGCACUGCAAAAGUUGCUCCUCAAUGUUUUGUACAUCGGGAUUGUUGCGGUGCCUCUCUUCGUAUUCUUCCAUAGAGAGCUUCUUUUUUGUUCGUGGAGGUUGUUCUACUUCUUCCAUGUGUUUCCAUGAAAAAAAUUCAUCAAUUGAUGGAAAAGAUAAAUUUUGUAUUGAUAAGUCGACUUUGUGUUGAAUUUCAAGGUGUUUCAACAUUUCCGCAUAGGUGCGAAACUUUAUACUACGUGUAGGUGCGAUGCACUUAGUGAAUUGCACUGCGGUGUUAAGGCAGGUUCUAAAAUGUUUACUGUAGGAACUGCCAUUUGAAUAAGCGGAGGAACAGUCGGGGCAAACUAUCAAACUUCCCGUGGUUACAGGAUCAGCUUUUGGAAUAAUUUCUUCAUUAGUUUUCUAGUAAUCGCUACCUGGGCAACACUCGUCAAGGUGCUUUAAUAAUUAAGGGAGCGUAACAUACUUUAAAUCACAUGAUUUAUUAUUACAAUUCUUGAAUUUAUCGGAAGUUUCUGCUUCCUUCACAUCGUUCGGUUUUGGCACACAUCUGUUUAAUCUGAAAUGAGCAUAAUACGAUUGUUUGGAAGCGUAAAUUUUGUGACACACAUCACAAGUUCAAGCAGCAAAUUGCAGUGAGAGAGCACCAAAAUUAGAAAGUAGAAUUUACUUUCAUAAAAAGCUCAUGCAUGGGGAGUUCUUGUGAACAUUCGCGGAGUUUCUGACGGAUUUUUUGUCAAAUAGUUCAUGACUUUAGCCAUGUGAGCGACCCUCAGCUUUUAAUUUGACUUUUGCGGCGAAUAACAAUUCAUCGCCUGCUGAACUUUGAAGUAAUUUUGAAGUUUUUCGGAAGCAAUGUCUCGGAGAAUACGAUUUAAACAAUUUUCUGGUUUUAAUUGGGGGGACACUAUUUUUCUCAUGAGUCGUGUUUCUCGCUCUUUCUUUUGAUUUUUCUACUGAUGCGGGAAAUUUUAACUCCGAGGAUAACCAUACCAAGUUUUAAAUUUAAGGUAAAGUCACCAGUUACAGACACCCUUAAGCAGAUUUUAACUCUUUUUUUGCCAUAACUUUUGAUAAACUGAACCAAAUUCAUUCAUCUUGGGAUUAAAUGAAAGUUAAGGGUUUAUACUCUCUGAUGAAGUAGUAUUUUUUACUAUUCAUGUUAGUUACUACUAGGGGCUUAUGGGGCUGCUUUGCAGCCCCUUAUUUUUCCUCUACACUUUUCACUUUCUCUCUUUUUUUUUAUUUAUUUUCAUUUAAUUUUCUGUUUUGUCUUUGAAUCGGGUCUAAUUUUUUCUUUGAUGUAAUAAAUAUAACAAAUUUUUUCAAAAAUUGUAAGUUUAUUUAGUAAACUUUAAACUAAAAUUUUGUUUUAAUCUUCAUGCAAAAUUCUUUUUUAGUUUUUACAUUUGUUUUUAAAAUAAUUUUU